UACAGAGGUCCCAAGCGUUGUUCGGAUUCACUGGGCGUAAAGGGUGCGUAGGCGGCGCGGUAAGUCGGGGGUGAAAUCUCGGAGCUUAACUCCGAAACUGCAUUCGAUACUGCCGUGCUUGAGGACUGGAGAGGAGACUGGAAUUUACGGUGUAGCGGUGAAAUGCGUAGAUAUCGUAAGGAAGACCAGUGGCGAAGGCGGGUCUCUGGACAGUUCCUGACGCUGAGGCACGAAGGUCAGGGGAGCAAACGGG
rnacentral:rRNA from 1 species